GCAUGGCUGAAUACUGUGUUCUUUUAUCAGUAGUUUACACAGCCAGACACCAUGCGAAAGUAACAUCUUCCCUCUAAAAUGAUUAUGAUGGUAUGCAUUGUUCUUUUUCAUAGCAUAUCUUUCUUAAAGGUGAAUACAAAU
rfam:Tupaia chinensis contig51557, whole genome shotgun sequence.